ensembl:lncRNA
GGGCGCGGUUGGGUCGCCAUGGCGAGCAAUGCCGCCAGCCUGAACGCCGUGAGGGAGACCAUGGACGUUCUGUUUGAGAUUUCAAGAAUAUUAAACACUGGCUUGGAUAUGGAGACAUUGUCUAUUUGUGUGCGGCUUUGUGAACAAGGAAUAAAUCCAGAAGCUUUAUCUUCUGUUAUUAAAGAACUGCGGAAGGCUACAGAAGCUCUAAAGGCUGCUGAAAAUAUGACAGGCUGACAUGGGAGAAGAUCUCUGCAUGAGCAGAAUGCGAAGUUAAACUUAUCAGGAGCUCUGAAGAUUGCCGCUAUUAAGAACAAAAAAUGAAAUAAGUGUAUGUGAAGGUUUCAGAGUACUUCCGUUAUACUUUUCAAAAGAAUGGUGUAUAUAAGAGCUUUGAAAAGUUUUUUAAAAGUCCACCAGUAAUAUUAUUGGUAUUUUUGUGAACUGUUUGUGAAUGAGUGCAGUUGUUUUUCUCUGGCAUCCUGUACAUUUAAAAUCACACCAGGUAUUGUACAUUGUUGAAUUUACUAGUGUGUACCAAAAAAUUGUUUUAGAAUGAGUGUAGUUUUGUUAAUGCAUCCUUUAGAAGAGGUAGUAUGCCACGGGUUUUACCUUUUGCUUUGAUGAAAAGCUACAUGUGCAAUUUUAGUCUUGCUUUAUUGUCCAGAUGGGAAUGAAGCCCAUAGUGACUUUAUUUUAGAGCACAAGCAGUAACUUAAGUCUCAAGCUGAAAGUAAUAAAUAAAGCAAUUUUUUUACUAAUGUAGGUCAUGAAUUGUGCUUUUGAUUUCAAUUGAAAUUGCUGGGAAAAAUGUUUAACUUAGAUAACCAAAGUUCUUCAGCUGUCCAUGUAGAUUUGUAUAUAAAUUUAAAUUCUAGAUGAAAUGGAAUGUUUCACAGUGAGCAGAUGCUACAUUUGUUACAUAUGUUCUGACUGUAGGCUCUAAAAAUAUUAACGCUAUAUUGUUACUGUAAUACAAUAGUCAGUGCAUACAUGAGAAGCAUCUGAUUUGGUUGAUGAGUAUCAGUAAGUCUUAAACAGCUGCUUGGUACAGGAAUGUCUUCUCAUUUAGCACUGGAAACCUUCACUGAUGCCCAAAGAGGUAUUAAUGUCCAGUAAGUAUCUCUGCACCCAGGAAUUGUACUUUGUAAGAAGAUAGUUUCUUGUGUAUUCUUCAUCUGCUGCUGUGUAAGUUUUUGGGGAGUUUUCAAAGGCUUUUGGGUUUUGUUUUUUUUUUUUUGUUAUGCUGUUUUCAAAGUGUAGCACUAAUGGGACCUAAAGUAACCUGCAGAGUUAACAGGGCAAAGCACAUUUGGAAAUGAACCUGGAAUCUCAGUUAAGCCAAAAGUUAUAUUUGUGCAGAGAUAAAAAGUUAGUUUUACUUGAAGAGUUUACAUCAUAAACACUCUGGAUCAUAGCUCUGCAAAAAACAAUAAAGGAAACAAAAUACUUCAUAUUGCUGACAAAGAGAAUAGAAAAAUAUUUAUAUUGCACUGAAUCACUUGCCUUUAUUUCCAGUUAGCCUGGCCAAAGCAUUCCAGGAAGAUGCUGUAAAUAACCAAACUGGGGAAUUUUUAAGUGGUUUCAUUUUGCACACUCACAGCAGCAAUUUACAAAGCACUUUAAAUGUUCAUAGCCUGGAUAUUGACUGUAUGAAAAGAUAUCAACAAUUAAAUUUAUCUUUGGAAAUCUGGAAAUUCAGUAAAAUACCCUGAAAAGUCCAGGUCAGAUCAGCACAAAUGAGCAGUUAGCUCUCUUACUUAAUUUUCUCUAGACUCAGUGCUACAUGUCAAAAAUGAGAAAAGACUUGGGGAGCAUUCUUGCUGGUCUCAGGAGUCAAUCUCAGUCUAUGAGAUUUCCCUUGUGUAACUUGAACUCUGAAAAUUUUCUGUGAACUAUAGCGAAUGUACCCAAAAUAAUAAUGAAACUCAAUUAGAAUAUAUGUUUCUGCUGCUGUGUUUCCUUUUCCUCUGUAGCCAAAUCUUUGGGUAAUACAGGAAGUCGGAUGACUUCCCUUGAAUGUCACUCUUUUGAUUAGUUUUAUGUAUUUCCAGGUUUUUUACUAACUUGGUAGCUUGAUUUUGGUUUGGGUUCAGUGUCCUUGAAGUGCUUAAAACUACCUUGCAACUGCAAUGAUAAUUUAUACAUAAUUUAUAAAAUUAUAUCUAAUUCUUGAACUGUCCAGUAAAGUGCAUUUACCAUUUUACCGUUGGUAAGCUUACAGCUUUUAUGCAUUUAGGCAUUUUCUGGCAGACCAUUUGUCCUGCAGAAUUACAGAAGAAGGGCAUGUCUUUGACAUUCAAAACCCCAAUUUGAUGUCUAUAAAAUUAAAAGUGCAGUAUUUUCAUUAUUAAGUGUAGCUAAAUUGUAACAUUGGUUACUUAAUGUAGUAAAGGGAGAACAUGUUGCUUCUUAAGGUGGUGUAAGAGAACUACUGACUGCUUUUGGUUCAGGGUACCAUCCAUAACAAAUGCAUUAAGUAUUUUUUUCUUCUUCCUGGUGAGAAAUAAAAAAAAAAUAUCUCUCAUAGGAAGCUUCGUACUGGAAAUACUGGGAGUGCAGGGUAAGUCUAUCACUUUAAUAGCAUCCCCACUAUGUGAACAUGAGUGCUGAGGCUUGGCAGUGAUGACUGAGAAGUCUUGGCUGCAUUUGUAACACACAUCACCUUUUACUGCAUUUAACCAAGAAGCGGAGCAAGCAGUACGUGCUUUUCCUCUGUGAUCCUUAAUUACAUGCUCUUGGAAUUCUAGAGAAGAUAAACAUAGGACUGGCUAUACAGGUCCUGACAAAAGUUGUUUCUUCUAACACAAUAGCUUCUUUUGGUAGUCAAAGGCAGCUGCCUUAGGAAGGAUUAGAACAAUGCAAGCAUGUUUGGUUGCUUCUCUUCUGUGUUCUUCUGGCUUCUGAAUGUCUUCUAUUCCAGGCUUUCCUGAACAUUGUAUAGUUUGUCUAUUUAGUAAUUUUCAAUGCUAUUUUUUCCAGUAGUUGUCUAGUUUCCUUUGGACUAUAUAUGCUUCCUGAGUAACAGCAGCCUUUCUCAAUUAAUGUCUGUUGCAUAAAAAAUUGCCACUUCUUGUUCAUUUUGAGCCUAUUUUUCACUAGUUUAAUGUCCUUUGAACUGUAAACCUUUAUCUAUCAUGCCAUGUUUCUGCAGAUACCUAAGUCACCUUUAAAUUUCAUCAUCUAAACUGAAAUGCUUUAGUAUUUGAGUGACCAAACAUGUGGAGUAGCUUCUGUAUUUACUGUCCUUUGAAACUUUUCUGCCUGUCAUAUAUUAUUUUCUGAAAAGGGAACCAACACUACACACUUCAGCCAUGCAGCUAAGUACUAGUCUGCUUGAUUACUUUCUUUUCUUUAUUCCUUCCUAAUAUUUGACUUGCUUUUUAAGUUGAUCUGAAUGUUGAGCUGUUUUCAUGGCAUUAUCUAUGGUUCCUACUACUCUUUAGUAGACUGAGAAGCUCAGAGGUUAUUUUUUCAUGUGGAAACUAUGAUUAUUUAUAUCUACGUGUAUAAUUUAUUUGUUUGUGCUGAAUUGCAUCUGCCACUUUUUCCUAAUCAAUCUUCCAUGUGUUUCUCCAGUUCAUCGCAGUUUGCUAGUAAUCUUGCUACCAUCACUAAUUUUAUCGUUGGGAAAUUUUGUUGCUUUAUUCCUUUUUUGAGGUUAAUUAUAAGUAAGUCAUGCAGCACACAAUGUAUCAAACACUGCAGAGGACAACUGGUGACCUGGGGCAGGAGCUGACCAUUUAUUUUCAUUCAUUUUCAGUGAUUGUGAAUAAAAUGCAUCAUCCUUACACCACAUGUCUUCAGUGUCACAUACAACAACUCUCACUGUGAGAGUUUAAGCACAGUUACGAAUCUAGUCCUGCAGAGAGCAUGGCAUGCUUGAUAAUUAUCAGGAUCCCCAAUGUUCUUUCCCACCUGCUGCUCUCUAGGUGAGAAAAUAACUGGUUCAAUCCUAGAUUUGCUUUUGGAUUCAAUCAACUAGUUCCUUCUGAGUUUAACUUGUGCACUGUUGCAGGCAUACUUCAUUCCAGAGACUGCUCCCAGCAGGCUGCUUACCAGAGCCUUCUCUUCUUCCCCAGCACUUUCCACCUUCAAACAUCCCAUCUGUUUUUACAUGCUCAUAGUUCCAUGCUAUAGAAACACUGCAGUCUUUAUUAUUUUAAUAAACUGUAAAUUAAAAGGCACAAAAAAUGACAAUGACUUAAGACUCAGCAGUGAUCUGUGAUACAGUAUGGCUGUAGACAACCUGCUUUAAAGAGAUCUAAUGCUGAACAGAGGGGCUUUACAUUACUAUGUGUGAUGGGACUCUGGCAGCUUACUUUACUUUGAAGAGUCUACUCUGAAUCACAAAUAUUACUGUUUAAUUAAAGUUUGAAAAUGUGGUUUCAAAGAAUGAAGGGUAUAUCAAAGUAAUUUCAACUUUUAAAAGUGAGGGCAAAGAGAGAGCUGCAGACCAGUCACCUCACAUAACAGCAAACAUCCAGCUGGUAAAUUUGGGAUUGUAUCAGCAAAGAAUGAAAGAUAAAGUCAAAGUAAAAAGAGACAGAAUGAGAGGAAAUGGCUAUUACAGAAUGUAUUUUUACAAAAAAUAGCUUCAUCGAGUAGAAAUAGUGAAGUAAAACCAUAGUGCUGUCUAUUUGCUGCUUCCAGACCCACUGUUUAUACUUCAAGAAAGCACGAGGAUAAUUUAAAUGAAGCCAUAAAACUCUUUAGGGAUGGGAGAGCAGGCCUGAAAGAGGUCUCAAAGCCCUCGGGGGGUGUGCAGGUUCUCAAAGAGAAGUUGAGAAGAGACAUAAUGACCCUAGUUAUGCUCUUGAACAUAAGUCUUGUGGGUCAUCUUUUUAACCUUACAGAGAAAACCAGGUUCAGUAGGUGUUACUGGAGAAAUCAAACAUUAAAAGUAAGGCACAGCUUCCUAGGAGUGAAAGUAAGUAAACUUUGACAUGGUAUAUUAGGGAAAUGACAACUGGCUACUGCUUGAUAUUGUUAAAAUGAAAUUAAUUCCAAAAGACGUGCUUUAAUCCAGCUUCUGGGGCAAAGUCUACGAUACCUCUCUGUGGGAUGUCAGAGAGGCUGGCUGUAGCAGUUCCUUUGGACUGCAGAGUCUGUGAAGGGCAGUGUAAAACAGCUCUAAGUAAUGUGAAGAAAAUUAGGAAUUAUUUAGGAUGGCUAUCAGUGAUGUUUCUGUCAGUAAGACAAAUGGAAGCCUGAUUUCCAAGAUAUUUGAAUGUUGCCUGAUCAAAAAAACCCAAACAUCACAACCGUUAAUUAUCUGCGCUGGAAAUCUGGAAUAUAUUGAGUCUAGGCACUUUUAUUAUCACUUUAUAAAUAUUCUUAUUUUUUCACCUCCAAUUUUCACAUGUACAAAGAGACUGGCUCAUGAAAAUGGAUCUCUGAAAGAGCUCAGUGCUGUCAUUAUGUAGGUGAGUGGGAGUUUAAUGUUCAAAUUUAACUUUCAGUGAAGGAGAUGGAAAAUUAAGGAGUGAAGAUGAUACCCGGCUGUACUGUGGUUACCCAGGGAAGCAGCCAGGAGCAACCCUUAGUAGGGAAGGAGGCCU